ensembl:lncRNA
GUGAGUUUGGCCAUUUAUUGAUGCCAUGCAAUGGCAGGCUAUAGUUACAGUCUGGUUUUAAAUACUAAGGUACCCACCAAGGUACCCCUUAAUGAGGCUGGGCCUGGCAAAAUAGCACAGAGGUGCAUACAAGGCAAUGGAUGAGGCCAUGUACCACAUAAAACCAUUUGGGAGGAGUGAUAGGUAGAAUUGUGCUUCCACAACCAUGGUUGCUUGCUUGUUUGUUUUUAAUGACAUAACUUAAAAUAAUACUAAUGGUAUUUGAACUAGCAAUACAAAAAAAAAAAAGAAUAGCAUUAAAUACAUUAGCUAAGUUGUAGCACCAGAUAGUUCAUGUUAUGUGGCUGCUCUCUUGAAAGUGAAGGGCUGUGCACUGAUUCAUUGUCCCAGGGCUUGAUCCUAGAGUCAGAAGGGAGAAGAGCUAAGACCUAUAGUCUCUAGGGUAGGAAUGUGUAGAUUUCAGAAUUUGGAGGAUUUUAACCAACUGAUUGGGAAAUUAUGAUCUAAAACAAUAUAAAUCCCUCAAAUUGUGUUCCAGAAAUAAGACAAAGGUUAUCAGAAACAUUCACUAAGUAUCUGAAAGCAUCACAUUAGGAAUGACUCCACACCAAGCAGAGACCUGGGGAAGGAGAUUGGACGGAGGUGUGCUCCUGUUGAAGAAAACUCAACAUUAAAACAAGUCAUUCCUACAAAGAGGCAGUUGCUUGUAUCACAAGAGGAUUUCCUGUUUUAUAAACGUAUUCACUAUCUGAUCCCUUGAGAUGUUGUUUCCCCACAGUUGUGGGGAAGAAUUAAAUUAACUCACACCUUUUCAGGGUAGAGCUAACAGCCACUGUGAAAGGCAAUGCAAACCAAACUGGGUUUGAGAACUUUGAUGUAUUUAAGCACCAGGCCCCGUGGCAGCCCUCUGUGGUUCAUGGUAGAUGUGUAUCCAGUGUUUCCUGUUUCAUUUCUCAUUUGUUCAAGAUGGGAGGAAAGGAGGCCACGGAGGAGAUAAGCCAACUAUGCUGCUUCAUAUUGGCCCCUGUGAGCACCAAAAAACAUGGUGAGACACCAUCUAGGUUCUUGCCUUUCAGAGUCUCCCUGUUCAUCUGAGGCCCCUCUCUUUAGGUUGAAAAGGGACCUGUCAGGGCCACAACCAUGUCUGAUGACUCCAAUAGUAAGUGCUGUCUUUACCCUGGGGUCCAGAAUGAUAGAUGUCAUACAACUGUGUCACGACACAUUCUCAAUACAGGAAGUAAAUGUCCAUGAUAUAGGAUUAGAGGCCACUAUUCUGAGAACCUAGAGGAAGGCUGGAAUGAAGCACCUGGCCAGAUCCUCCCUGCAUUUCCACCAUCUUUGCCACGUGGAUCAUAAGCAACAUUUUGUGUAUUGGGAAAUCUGGCCAAGUUUAGUUUGCUGAGGUCAGUAGGAAUCUGGAUUUGUUCCUGAGUUUUGUAAGACCGGUCAUAUCCAGGUCUCUGAUGACAUGUGUGAUCUAAGAUAGCAUUAAGUUAAAUCCAUCCAGCUUACCAAAUUAAUCCCCUGAAAGCCUAUAUUACACUUCAGGGAUAGUCUUCGCAAGUUGCCCCAUGAGAAGAAAAUCGGCUUCCCUUCCACUCACAUCACUGACAAUUUAAGCAUCUUCUCUCCAAAAUUCUUAUUUCACCAGAGCUGGUCAUCAGCCAGCAAUGUUCAAAGACCAAAUAUAAGAACCUAAUUAUCUAGAAAUAAAUUUCCUGGUUUUGAUAAACAUUUCUACUUUCCUCCUACUUCUGGUCUACCUCAAAUUUCAUCCCAACCCCACUGUUUUAUUUCCCCCCAGGAAUUUAUCAGAAUAAUACACAGUAAUGGCUUGGGGGAAAAAUGCAUAAUAUACAAAUUUUAAGCUUCUAGUGUCCAGGCAAUAGGAGCAGCGUUGGCCAGCAACACCGUUACAUUUAACAGAAGAGGCAUAUGGACUUGCCCACUUGUACAUCUACCUCUAUGUUUAUAUUAGUUCUGCCACCAUCUGGAUAUUAGCACCAUAUUUCAAUAGCACCAUUCUGCUGAACGGAGAGAUAAUGCAAGGGGGAGGUGGGACACGGCUCUAGGGUGAAUAUUCGCUGUACCUCUGUGUGAGUCUGAAGACAUGCUGCCCAUUACACAAACGCCACACCUGCCUUCCCUUCUGUCAAGAGCUGGUCCUGAGGGCUUCUUGCUGUGGAGGCCCUGCCCCCCCCCUCAUUUUCCAGGUUCAGUUCAUGUAACUACCUCCCUUUAGAAACCAGGAAACUUGUCUUGAAUUUGAGACCACAGCCUCCUCUGAUUCCUGAUGGGUGAUGGGAACAUCCAGAAUAAGCAUUUACUUUCUUGGAUUCCCUGACUCACCUGUUUCCCUCAAAGAAACAGAUCCUCAAAAAAGGACUAUUGGGUCAGCGUUACCUCACUUUUGAAAAGUUUUUUUUUCUCUUGAGACUAGACGUUUAUACUAAGUUUUUGCAUACUUAACACAAAGUUUUUGUAUACUUAAUGCAAUUUACCUGGAUCUUGGACGUAUUUUAAACUAGAGCUCCACUUUUCAACCCGAAGGUAGGUAGGGGGUGGCCUGCAGCCACAGAGCAGGCUAUAGAAGUUGUUGUGCACAUUAAACCCCCGGAGGUGAAAAGAUGGGCACCCUGUGUGUUGAUGACUCAGGCAGAGAAUAUGCUAGAGAAGGGAAAGUCAGACCGGAAGAGUCCUUUGCUCCCUGCAAAGGAAUGGCCAUUUGCCAGGGAAGUGGGAUGAGUAAAGGCCCACAUUCUUAUUGAUUUCUGUUAAUUUUGCUUUUUAAGAGUUUUCAUAGAAAUUAUCCUUAAGUCAGAAAGGUCUUCUGGAGGAGAUAAACCAACGAUGCUGCUUCAUGUUGGCCCCCCGUGAGCACCAAAAACAUGGUGAGACACCAUCCAGGGUCUUGCCUUCAGAGUCUCCCUAUUAUGCUGAGGCCCCUCUCUUACUGCUAAAUAAAGAAGGGACCUGUCAGGGCCACAACCCGGUCUGAUGACUCCAACAGCAAGUUCCUUAGGUUUACUAAAUCCUACAGUUCCUCGCAUUUUCUCUCUUCUUAGGGUCUCCAGGUAGACAAGGGAGUCUUAACAGUCCAGGUACAGAGUCCACAGGGAUUGGGGAGAGACUGGGGGUGUGGCCAGCACUUUUUCUUUCAGCUCCAGUUGAACACUGGUUGAAGAGAGUAGCCCCCUGCCUGAUGAAUCCAGAGACUGUUCCUCAAAGCUUGCCCAUGACAUUUUAAACAGCAACUCUCGCAGGUAGGGAGGGAGAUUUUCUUUAAAAAAAAAAAAAAAGAUUUCAUGGCAGUAAAUUAAGGAGACUGUUUGUUCCCUAGAUAAAGGUGGCUGUUUCCUGCUACUCUUGAGGUAGUCUGGGGAAUAUCUGGUCUCUGUUUUUACCUUUAAGGGAGGAAAAAAAAAACAUCAUUUCACUGACUUGCCCAACUUGGCACCUUUCCCAGGAGCUGAUCCUGGGAGAUGCCCGAUUCUCCUGCACCCCUUCCCUGUGCAUCAGGGAGCAGUGAGUAUUUCCUAUGCCUCCUCUGAAGGACAUUCUGUGGCUAAAGAAACACAGAGGGUUUAGUUUUGUUAUGAGCCCAAGUUGAACCUGAAACACAGAGUAAAACCACAAUGGAGUGAUCCCUGGGGCUAGAAUGUGUCAUGGUCAGCAGACAGCUGCAGUCUAUGGUGGAUGGUGGCUUCCUUCUGGACUUAGGGGGCGUUGGGCUUUUGGAGCGACUGUCGUUUUCUUGGCCUUUGGGUGUGGGCCACGUGUGUCUGGGAACAAGAGACGCAGCACUGAACCCUCACGGUGGGCAUGGAACAUUUCUUCAUGGUUUUUAGUGUCUGGCAGAAACUGGCUGAUAAGUUGUCCUUGGUACAAGGUAAAUC